GAUGAACGCUAGCGGCAGGCUUAAUACAUGCAAGUCGAGGGGCAGCAGGACGGUAGCAAUACCGUUGCUGGCGACCGGCAAACGGGUGCGGAACACGUACGCGACCUACCCAUAACUGGGGGAUAGCCCGGGGAAACCCGGAUUAAUACCUCGUAACCUUAUGAAGUGGCAUCGCUUUAUAAGUAUAGCUCCGGCGGUUAUGGAUGGGCGUGCGCCUGAUUAGGUAGUUGGCGGGGUAACGGCCCACCAAGCCUGCGAUCAGUAACUGGUGUGAGAGCACGACCAGUCACACGGGCACUGAGACACGGGCCCGACUCCUACGGGAGGCAGCAGUAAGGAAUAUUGGUCAAUGGACGCAAGUCUGAACCAGCCAUGCCGCGUGAAGGAUGAAGGUCCUCUGGAUUGUAAACUUCUUUUAUAGGGGAAGAAAUCUGAAUAUUCCUAUUCAGUUGACGGUACCCUAGGAAUAAGCACCGGCUAACUCCGUGCCAGCAGCCGCGGUAACAC
rnacentral:rRNA from 1 species